rnacentral:rRNA from 1 species
ACGGGAGGCAGCAGUGGGGAAUAUUGGGCAAUGGGCGAAAGCCUGACCCAGCGACGCCGCGUGAGGGAAGACGGUCUUCGGAUUGUAAACCUCUUUCAGCAGGGAAGAAGAAAGUGACGGUACCUGCAGAAGAAGUCACGGCUAACUACGUGCCAGCAGCCGCGGUAAUACGUAGGUGGCGAGCGUUAUCCGGAAUUACUGGGUGUAAAGGGAGCGCAGGCGGGUCAGCAAGUCAGCGGUGAAAAUUAUGGGCUCAACCCAUAAACUGCCGUUGAAACUGUUGAUCUUGAGUGGAGUAGAGGCAGGCGGAAUUCCGAGUGUAGCGGUGAAAUGCGUAGAUAUUCGGAGGAACACCAGUGGCGAAGGCGGCCUGCUGGGCUCUAACUGACGCUGAGGCUCGAAAGUGUGGGGAGCAAACAGGAUUAGAUACCCUGGUA